rnacentral:rRNA from 1 species
CGCAGCCGCGGUAAUUCCAGCUCCAAUAGCGUAUAUUAAAGUUGUUGCAGUUAAAAAGCUCGUAGUUGAAUUUCGGGGUUAGUAGGUUGGUCGUGCCACUGGUAUGUACUGGCUCUACUGAUCCCUCCUUCUUGUAGAACCGUAAUGCCAUUAACUUGGUGUUGCGGGGAAACAGGACUGUUACUUUGAAAAAAUUAGAGUGUUUAAAGCAGGCUAACGCUUGAAUACAUUAGCAUGGAAUAAUGAAAUAGGACGCUCGAUCCUAUUUUGUUGGUUUCUAGGAUUGACGUAAUGAUUAAUAGGGAUAGUUGGGGGCAUUAGUAUUCAAUUGUCAGAGGUGAAAUUCUUGGAUUUAUUGAAGACUAACUACUGCAAAGCAUUUGCCAAGGAUGUUUUCAUUAAUCAAGAACGAAAGUUAGGGAUCGAAGACGAUCAGAUACCGUCGUAGUCUUAACCAUAAACUAUGCCGACUAGGGAUCGGAUGAUGUUAAUUUUUAUGUACUCAUUCGGCGCCUUACGG